GUCAACGGCCAUGCCACCCUGAACGUGCCUGAUCCCGUCUGAUUUCGGAAGCUAAGCAGGGUCAGGCCUGGUUAGUACUUGGAUGGGAGACCACCUAGGAAGACCAGGUCCUGCAGGCG
rnacentral:rRNA from 1 species